rnacentral:rRNA from 1 species
GAUGAACGCUGGCGGCGUGCCUAAUACAUGCAAGUCGAGCGAACAGAUGAGGAGCUUGCUCCUCUGACGUUAGCGGCGGACGGGUGAGUAACACGUGGAUAACCUACCUAUAAGACUGGGAUAACUUCGGGAAACCGGAGCUAAUACCGGAUAAUAUAUUGAACCGCAUGGUUCAAUAGUGAAAGACGGUUUUGCUUUCACUUAUAGAUGAAUCCGCGCCGCAUUAGCUAGUUGGUAAGGUAACGGCUUACCAAGGCAACGAUGCGUAGCCGACCUGAGAGGGUGAUCGGCCACACUGGAACUGAGACACGGUCCAGACUCCUACGGGAGGCAGCAGUAGGGAAUCUUCCGCAAAGGGCGAAAGCCUGACGGAGCAACGCCGCGUGAGUGAUGAAGGUCUUCGGAUCGUAAAACUCUGUUAUUAGGGAAGAACAAAUGUGUAAGUAACUAUGCACGUCUUGACGGUACCUAAUCAGAAAGCCACGGCUAACUACGUG